rnacentral:rRNA from 1 species
AGGACGAACGCUGGCGGCGUGCUUCACACAUGCAAGUCGAACGGGGCUCAUUCGGUGGUAACACCGGAGAAGGCCUAGUGGCGAACGGGUGCGUAACACGUGAAGAACCUGCCCCGAAGACUGGGAUAACAGCGGGAAACCGCUGCUAAUACCGGAUGACCCCACCAGGCCGCAUGGCCAGGUGAGGAAAUGGGCCUACCGCUUCGGGAGGGCUUCGCGGCCUAUCAGCUUGUUGGUGGGGUAACGGCCUACCAAGGCUACGACGGGUAGCUGGUCUGAGAGGACGACCAGCCACACUGGGACUGAGACACGGCCCAGACUCCUACGGGAGGCAGCAGUGGGGAAUCUUGCGCAAUGGGCGAAAGCCUGACGCAGCAACGCCGCGUGAGGGAUGAAGGUCUUCGGGUUGUAAACCUCUUUCGAGCAGGGACGAUUGUGACGGUACCUGCAGAGAAGCUCGGCCACUACGCGCAGCAGCCGCGGU